UACGUAGGGCGCAAGCGUUAUCCGGAAUUAUUGGGCGUAAAGAGCUCGUAGGCGGUUGUCGCGUCUGCCGUGAAAGUCCGGGGCUCAACUCCGGAUCUGCGGUGGGUACGGGCAGACUAGAGUGAUGUAGGGGAGACUGGAAUUCCUGGUGUAGCGGUGAAAUGCGCAGAUAUCAGGAGGAACACCGAUGGCGAAGGCAGGUCUCUGGGCAUUAACUGACGCUGAGGAGCGAAAGCAUGGGAGCGAACAGG
rnacentral:rRNA from 1 species